UACGGGGGGGGGCAAGCGUUGUUCGGAAUUACUGGGCGUAAAGGGCUCGUAGGCGGCCAACUAAGUCAGACGUGAAAUCCCUCGGCUUAACCGGGGAACUGCAUCUGAUACUGGAUGGCUUGAGUUCGGGAGAGGGAUGCGGAAUUCCAGGUGUAGCGGUGAAAUGCGUAGAUAUCUGGAGGAACACCGGUGGCGAAGGCGGCAUCCUGGACCGACACUGACGCUGAGGAGCGAAAGCGUGGGGAGCAAACAGG
rnacentral:rRNA from 1 species